CAGCUCUCCGAGUGGUGGGGAUGUUUAUUGGGCCUAAAGCAUUCGUAGCCUGCUUGGCAAGUCCUCCGUUAAAUCCAACGAUUCAAUCGUUGGGCUGCGGGGGAUACUGUCCGGCUAGGGGGCGGGAGAGGCCGACGGUAUCCCCGGGGUAGGGGUGAAAUCCUAUAAUCCCGGGAGGACCACCAGUGGCGAAGGCUGUCGGCUAGAACGUGCUCGACGGUGAGGGAUGAAAGCUGGGGGAGCGAACCGGAUUAGAUACCCGGGUAGUCCCAGCUGUAAACGAUGCAGGCUAGGUGUUGGCGCGGCUACGUGCCGCUCCAGUGCCGCAGGGAAGCCGUUAAGCCUGCCGCCUGGGAAGUACGGCCGCAAGGCUGAAACUUAAAGGAAUUGGCGGGGGAGCACCACAAGGUGUGAAGCUUGCGGUUUAAUUGGAGUCAACGCCGGAAAUCUCACCGGGGGCGACAGCAGAAUGAAGGUCAGAUUGAAGGUCUUACCAGACAAGCUGAGAGGAGGUGCAUGGCCGUCGCCAGUUCGUGCCGUGAGGUGUCCUGUUAAGUCAGGCAACGAUCGAGACCCGCGUCCCCUGUUGCCACCGGCCUUGAGCCGAGCACACUGGGGAGACUGCCGUCGAUAAGGCGGAGGAAGGAGCGGGCCACGGCAGGUCAGUAUGCCCCGAAUCCCCCGGGCUACACGCGAGCUGCAAUGGCAGGUACAGAGGGUCCCGACUCUGAAAAGAGAAGGAAAUCCCGAAAGCCUGCCGUAGUUGGGAUCGAGGGUUGUAACUCACCCUCGUGAACAUGGAAUACCUAGUAACCGCGUGUCACUACCGCGCGGUGAAUACGUCCCUGCUCCUU
rnacentral:rRNA from 1 species